rnacentral:rRNA from 1 species
UACGUAGGGUGCAAGCGUUGUCCGGAAUUAUUGGGCGUAAAGAGCUCGUAGGCGGUCUGUCGCGUCGGCUGUGAAAUCCCGAGGCUCAACCUCGGGUCUGCAGUCGAUACGGGCAAACUAGAGUAUUGCAGGGGAGACUGGGAAAUUCCUGGUGUAGCGGUGAAAUGCGUAGAGAUCCGGAGGAACACCGACGGCGGCCAGGCAGCGUCCUGGCCGCUUGCUGACACUGGAGGCACGAAAGCUGGGGGAGCAAACAGGA